CGAUGAUCCGGUGCUUGCACCGGGGAUUAGUGGCGAACGGGUGAGUAACACGUGAGUAACCUGCCCUUGACUCUGGGAUAAGCCUGGGAAACUGGGUCUAAUACCGGAUAUGACUCCUCAUCGCAUGGUGGGGGGUGGAAAGCUUUUGUGGUUUUGGAUGGACUCGCGGCCUAUCAGCUUGUUGGUGAGGUAAUGGCUCACCAAGGCGACGACGGGUAGCCGGCCUGAGAGGGUGACCGGCCACACUGGGACUGAGACACGGCCCAGACUCCUACGGGAGGCAGCAGUGGGGAAUAUUGCACAAUGGGCGCAAGCCUGAUGCAGCGACGCCGCGUGAGGGAUGACGGCCUUCGGGUUGUAAACCUCUUUCAGUAGGGAAGAAGCGAAAGUGACGGUACCUGCAGAAGAAGCGCCGGCUAACUACGUGCCAGCAGCCGCGGUAAUACGUAGGGCGCAAGCGUUAUCCGGAAUUAUUGGGCGUAAAGAGCUCGUAGGCGGUUUGUCGCGUCUGCCGUGAAAGUCCGGGGCUCAACUCCGGAUCUGCGGUGGGUACGGGCAGGCUAGAGUGAUGUAGGGGAGACUGGAAUUCCUGGUGUAGCGGUGAAAUGCGCAGAUAUCAGGAGGAACACCGAUGGCGAAGGCAGGUCUCUGGGCAUUAACUGACGCUGAGGAGCGAAAGCAUGGGGAGCGAACAGGAUUAGAUACCCUGGUAGUCCAUGCCGUAAACGUUGGGCACUAGGUGUGGGGGACAUUCCACGUUUUCCGCGCCGUAGCUAACGCAUUAAGUGCCCCGCCUGGGGAGUAC
rnacentral:rRNA from 1 species